rnacentral:tRNA from 1 species
GGCGGANGUAGCCCAGUGGAUCAAGGCAGUGGAUUGNGAAUCC